rnacentral:rRNA from 1 species
UACAGAGGGGGCAAGCGUUGUUCGGAAUUACUGGGCGUAAAGGGCGCGUAGGCGGCCUUCUAAGUCGAACGUGAAAUCCCCGGGCUCAACCGGCGAACUGCGUCCGAUACUGGAAGGCUUGAAUCCGGGAGAGGGAUGCGGAAUUCCAGGUGUAGCGGUGAAAUGCGUAGAUAUCUGGAGGAACACCGGUGGCAAAGGCGGCAUCCUGGACCGGUAUUGACGCUGAGGCGCGAAAGCCAGGGGAGCAAACGGG